CCUUAGGGCCUAUUUGUUUUGAUGUAAGUGGAGUGAUGGAACUCAAGUUCCAUCACUUCUGUUAUUUGUUUUGAUAUAAUUAAAAAAUAUAAUAUAACUCAAGUUACGUUAGAGCUCCACUUCACCUACUCUCGACUUCCUCCUCUAAAGUGCUGAACUCGACUUCCACCACACUCAACUUCCUCUAAAAAAUUAACUAAUCAGUAAAACCUAAACUCGACUUCCUUUAUAAUCGAUUAGAAUUACCUUAUUUAUAAUAAAUUAGGAUUAUCUUUAAAUAAUAAUAAAAAAUUUAAUUAUAUAAUAGGUUAAAUUUUAUAGUGGUAAAUUUACUACUAUAUUUAGGAGAUAAUAGGAUCCACUUACUUACAUCAAAACAAACAACGGAACUUAAAAAACUAAUUUCACCAACACCAAGUUAUAUCAAAAUAAACAGAAGAAGUAAUUGAAUUUAACUUUCAGACUGUAUGAGUUACAUCAAAACAAACAAUAAAAAAAUAAUCACACUUCAGAGAAACUCAAACACCACUACACUUGACUUACGUUGGAUCUACAGAUUCGUCAAUCCAAACGCCCCCUUAGCUGAAGAGGAACCUUUGGGAACGGCAUAAGCAUCCGAAUCAUAAGUGUUGGAUAGUUGGCGCUAACCAUUAAUCCCAAAAGCUCGAGUUAUAAGAAAUACGCAACCAAUUCACUUAAAGUGUAUAGAAACAGCGCCUACGGGUUUCGAUUGUGACUCGGCCCACCUGGCCUCACGCCACUUCGAACAUGAUUCGGCCCAACCCAGCCUUACGCCAUUUCGAACAUGACUCGGUCCACAUGGCCUCUUGCCACAGGCAGGAUGCUGGCCGAUUUAAGCCAACAAUCCCCCCUCCAGCACCUGCACACAUUUGCAGUAUACAGGAAUCGAACCCGUGACCUCUAGCUCUGAUACCACUUGUCGGAUCGUUGACUCUAACCAUUAAUCCCAAAAGCUCGAGCUAUUAGAAAUACGCAACCAAUUCACUUAAAGUGUAUAGAAACAGCGCCCACGUGUUUCGAUUGUGACUCAGCCCACCUGGCUUCACGCCACUUCGAACAUGACUCAGCCCAACCCAGCCUCACGCCAUUUCGAACAUGACUCGGCCCACAUGGCCUC
rnacentral:lncRNA from 1 species